UACGUAGGGUGCAAGCGUUGUCCGGAAUUAUUGGGCGUAAAGGGCGCGUAGGCGGCCCUGUGUGUCGGGUGUGAAAGCCCACCUCUUAAAGGUGGAAUUGCAUUCGAAACUACAGGGCUGGAGUGUCGGAGAGGAUGGCGGAAUUCCUGGUGUAGAGGUGAAAUUCGUAGAUAUCAGGAGGAACACCGGUGGCGAAGGCGGCCAUCUGGACGACAACUGACGCUGAGGCGCGAAAGCGUGGGGACAAACAGGA
rnacentral:rRNA from 1 species